CAAUCAUGCAACACAGUUAGUGAAACACAUUUCACAUAUUAAAGUAUAGUUUAUUUGCAGGUUCAUUGAAAUUGUGUCAAAAUGGCUUGGGUCAACACACAUGACGCCUCUGUCUUUGUCCGUGGUUUGAAGACUUUUCUGGAAGAAAACCACAAGGGACACCUGCUGGGGGACUCCGGCUAUCAACAAUAGUUACAACAAUGCCCAGUCAAGUGUAUUGUGGUUGAGAGGGCUUUUGAACUGCCAAAGAGUAGAUUUAGGUGUCUACAUAAAACUGGCGGUUGUUUAUUCAUGAGACUCGAUGAGUGCUGUCAAGCAGUGGCUGCAUGAAUGCGCCUGCACAACUUAUGCAUAAAUAAGCAGGUGCCACUGCCUGAACAACUUACUGAGGCAUAGGAAGUGGAUGACGUUGUGCACAGUCCACAACAGGACCAAAAUGCAGCUUAUAUGGACAACACAUCAUUAACUUAUUUAUGUAGUUGCUGUUUUAUACU